rnacentral:rRNA from 1 species
CAAUAGCGUAUAUUAAAGUUGUUGCAGUUAAAAAGCUCGUAGUUGGAUUUCGGGGCAGCCUGGCUGGUCCGCCGCAAGGCGAGUACUGGUCAGCCGCCCUUCCUCUCGAAAGCCCCGACUGCUCUUCGUUGCAGUGGUCGGGUAGUUCGGGACGUUUACUUUGAAAAAAUUAGAGUGUUCAAGGAAGGCCUACGCCUGAAUACAUUAGCAUGGAAUAAUGGAAGAGGACCUCGGUCCUAUUUUGUUGGUUUCCAGGGCCGAAGUAAUGAUUAAGAGGGACAGUUGGGGGCAUUCGUAUUUAAUUGUCAGAGGUGAAAUUCUCGGAUUUAUGAAAGACGAACAACUGCGAAAGCAUUUGCCAAGGAUGUUUUCAUUAA